rnacentral:lncRNA from 1 species
AUUCGAAAUUCAAACUCGAAAGUGGGGGGACUGGUGUUGGGUAUAAAAUACCCUCGACCAAAGUUCGUGAUGGGAUCGACCCUCGCAGGUCUCUUCCGACUUUCGGCUACUGGUGGUGAAUUCCCGUCACCCCGCCCGGACUCCCACGGGAGCCGGGCUCCGUCACCGACUUCAACUGCUGAUAAGCUUCGUCCGGACUCCUACGGGAGUCGGACUUCGCACCUGACUCCCGCC